AAUGGGUCAGCGACUUAUAUUCUGUAGCAAGGUUAACCGAAUAGGGGAGCCGAAGGGAAACCGAGUCUUAACUGGGCGUUAAGUUGCAGGGUAUAGACCCGAAACCCGGUGAUCUAGCCAUGGGCAGGUUGAAGGUUGGGUAACACUAACUGGAGGACCGAACCGACUAAUGUUGAAAAAUUAGCGGAUGACUUGUGGCUGGGGGUGAAAGGCCAAUCAAACCGGGAGAUAGCUGGUUCUCCCCGAAAGCUAUUUAGGUAGCGCCUCGUGAAUUCAUCUCCGGGGGUAGAGCACUGUUUCGGCAAGGGGGUCAUCCCGACUUACCAACCCGAUGCAAACUGCGAAUACCGGAGAAUGUUAUCACGGGAGACACACGGCGGGUGCUAACGUCCGUCGUGAAGAGGGAAACAACCCAGACCGCCAGCUAAGGUCCCAAAGUCAUGGUUAAGUGGGAAACGAUGUGGGAAGGCCCAGACAGCCAGGAUGUUGGCUUAGAAGCAGCCAUCAUUUAAAGAAAGCGUAAUAGCUCACUGGUCGAGUCGGCCUGCGCGGAAGAUGUAACGGGGCUAAACCAUGCACCGAAGCUGCGGCAGCGACGCUUAUGCGUUGUUGGGUAGGGGAGCGUUCUGUAAGCCUGCGAAGGUGUGCUGUGAGGCAUGCUGGAGGUAUCAGAAGUGCGAAUGCUGACAUAAG
rnacentral:rRNA from 1 species